AAAUCAAUCCAAAAGAAUUAUGCGAAAAAUUCGGAUCGAGAAAGAACGAAAACUCAUUGAUCGAGUUCAUACCUUCAACCAUUGAUGUUGUUCUAGAAGCUCUCUUUUUUGUUCCAGAUGAUGGUACUUCUAAAUUCUCAACACUCUAAAACUGAUGGUUUAUAUUGUGUAUUUUCGACCAUGAUUGAGCUUAUGGACCAAACCCCUUUAUAUAGAGCCAAGCUUCCAUCAAAUUAUGGUUAUAGUUACCCUCCAAUUGAUAGUGAAAUUGAAUUUCAUGAAUGCUGAAUUGAAGCUUAAUAAAUGUUGAAACUGAAACUAUGAUGUUGGACCAUUAAUAGAGAAACAGGUGUUACAUUUGGUGUAAAGUUCACGAGUCACGACUAUGAAUUGAGGCAGAUGGGUUCUUCCCGCUAUAGCCAAACCCCCUUUUUAUUUCCCUUAUUUUUAUUUUCUUUUAUUUAUUCCCUGCAUAUACAUCAAUUGAUUAGGGACGUUUAUGUCUUUAGGUGGUUUAGGGGUUUUGGUUUCUUAAGUUUACUAGUUAUUAGGGGUUUUGGUUUCUUAAGUUUACUAGUUAAACAUCCUUAAGAUUUUGUCAUUUUCUUUGUUAGUAUAGUGGAUACAUGUUUUAUAUUAAUUAUUUAGUAUUAAUUGUUUUGAAGAACAUCACGAUUCAAAUAGAUUAGGAGAAACUAGGCUGCAAACAAAGA
rnacentral:sRNA from 1 species